GUGAAUCUAGCUUCCCCCAUUAACUUGGCUUGUCAGAAGCCAGCUGAGAAAGUUAGAAAUGGUGUUUACGUGAUCCCAGGGCAGUGCAACUAUCAUUAAAUACAUGCAGUUACCAAGAACCAGAAUUUUGAUCACGUGACACUGGAGAUGCUGCAACAGUUGUGUGAAAACUGGUCAUAAGUCACUUUUUUCAGUGAAUUUUGACCGGUCAUUAAACAAUUGGUUGUAAGUUCAGUACUAUUAUCAAAAAAGUGGGACAGGAAGAAUAAACAUAUCCUCAGGUAAGAAUCAUGAAAGCAAGGUGGAAUAGAUUAGGUUCAGGAAAAUACUUUUUCCAGAAGUCAGCAAAGCUUCACAAAUUCUCUUAUGCACAUCUCUUGGGAUGUGUUUAGUCUCACCUUAACUGUUCUGAACUCAGCCAAACCACUACUAAACCAACUUUAGUUAGCUUGCUGUGCCCAAGCCAGCCAAGAGUGGCAGAGUCUUCUAAAACAAACCUGGGCUUUACAACAAUGUGUGAACCCUAACAUUUAAUUACGUCACUGGCCAUGUAAUCAGCCCAACCUUCCUUUGUGCGACUUGCUGGCAACGAAGAAAGGUUGUAGUUUUAAAAGCCGCCUUCGCGAAAUCUGCUAAAGGUUCACCCUUUCUAUUUCAUCCUUGCUUGAGGAGGGUACUUCCGACCGCUCGCGUGCCUUUUGAUUCCGUUGAAGUCCAGGUUGUACUUCCUCUCUUUCUGCGCCCUCCCGCGCGCCGAGUAAAGAACGCUUAAAGCGGGCGGAGGGAGAAGAAAAGGAAGAAGCCGCCGAGCGCGGUUAAAUCUCCUCCCCUCGCCCAUAGGUUGGACUCAAGCGGGGGCCACCGUACCUUGGAAAGGAGCAGGCAAAAAAAGACGAGACAGUGACCCAGCAGUUCGCUCUAUGUAAGAGUGCCUGCUGAUGGGGUUUACAACCGUACCAGGAUGGCCGAGUGGUUAAGGCGUUGGACUUAAGAUCCAAUGGACGCAUGUCCGCGUGGGUUCGAACCCCACUCCUGGUAGUUGGUUUUUUUCUGCCUCGGUCUUCUUAAAUUAAAGAGGAAACGGAUAAACUACGUAGAAGACAUCAGGUGAGGCUUCUGCCUUUGAACGGACGCCCAGCAGGACUGAGCCGCCAUUUGAGCGAAUCCUCCACCGUCCCCUGCUUGGUGCCUCUUCUCUGCCGCGAUAACUGAAAGCAACGCCAGUCUGGGUUGCACGAAAAUGAAAUCGUGUCAUUUUCACGAGGCUCCACGUAAAUAUAUGAACGAAACCGCUCCUCUUCCCCCCACUCCCCAUCGUCCUCCCCCACUCCGUGGCUCAGCUCAGUGCAAAGCGCGGCGGAUGGGGGUGCAGAAACCACCAAUUUUAAAGUGUCAAUACUGUACAAUUUGAAGAGGAAGUGAUCUGGGGGGUGGGUGGAGGGUGGCCAAGGAAUUGUUUAUUCCGGCGAUCUUCAGUUGUGUUGGACUGCAAAUACCAUAAUCUCUGACAAGCCCAACUACCCGUAAUCUAAUUUCAUCUGAAGAGCAUCAGAACAGAGACGAACGAUUUUCUUACAGAAUCUCGAGAAAGAUACUUUACAUUUCAUUACCCAAACCAGGUAACAUCAUCAUCAGUGCUUAGGCGAUAUCCCACAUCAAAGAGGCUGUCAUGUCUCUAACAAAGGCCUCCUGCCUCAGAAGUUUUUUAUGUUGGAAACAUUUUACUUUGAACUCCUGGCUGACCUUGUCAGAUCUGCAAAAAAUAAUGACGGUGGAAUUUGAUCGUGUUCAUUAUAUUGUGUUAUAUUGUACAUAUAUAUGCUUUAUCAUAUGUUAUUAUGUAAAUAAAAUGAUGACAUGUAUCAUAA